UACGAAGGGUGCAAGCGUUACUCGGAAUUACUGGGCGUAAAGCGUGCGUAGGUGGUUUGUUAAGUCUGUUGUGAAAGCCCCGGGCUCAACCUGGGAAUGGCAAUGGAUACUGGCAAGCUAGAGUGCGGUAGAGGGUAGUGGAAUUCCCGGUGUAGCGGUGAAAUGCGUAGAGAUCGGGAGGAACGCCAGUGGCGAAGGCGGCUACCUGGACCAGCACUGACACUGAGGCACGAAGCGUGGGGAGCAAACAGG
rnacentral:rRNA from 1 species